GUUAAAAAGCUCGUAGUUGGAUUUCUGUGGGGACGGGGCGGCCGGCCGCUACUAGCGGUUCGAGCUAGCGCUUUCCCUACAUCCUGCCGCGAACCGUGCUACCAUUAGUUUGGUGGCGCCGGGGAUCGGCUCGUUUACUUUGAGAAAAAUAGAGUGUUCAAAGCAGGCCACACGCCUUGAAUAAGUUAGCAUGGAAUAAUAACUAAGGACUUCGGUUCUAUUUUGUUGGUGUUCGGGACAGAAGUAAUGAUUGAUAGGGACAGUUGGGGC
rnacentral:rRNA from 1 species